CCCGUAUCAGUUGAAAAUGGUUGGGAUGAGGUGUGUGUAGCGGUGAAAUUCAAAACGAACUUGGAGAUAGCUGGUUCUCUCCGAAAUCUCUUUAGGGGGAGCCUCGAGGUUUAGAAUCAUGGAGGUAGAGCACUGUUUGGACUAGGGGCCCGUCAUGGGUUACUGACUUCAGAUAAACUCCGAAUGCCAUUGAUUUUUACUCGGGAGUCACACGGUGAGUGAUAAGAUCCAUCGUGUAAAGGGGAACAGCCCAGAUCAUCAGCUAAGGUCCCUAAAUAUAUGCUAAGUGGAAAAGGAUGUGGAAUUGCACAGACAACUAGGAUGUUGGCUCAGAAGCAGCC
rnacentral:rRNA from 1 species